AUGCCGCCCCAACUACCUCAUCCAAUAGGACGCCGGCCGCGGCGUCACAGCUUCUUCAACGUAUGCCUCACAAUGGGGCUCGCUGUGCUGCUGGCGGACAGCCGCGGCCUCGCUGGUGUGGUGCGGGAUUUCCAGAUCACCCGGCGGCUGGGGUUGGAGGAUGGCGUUCCCACAACUCCUCAUCGGGGUUCCAUAGGGGCUGCAGGUGCAGCUGCAUCAAGCGAAUUGGCCGACGGCGUGCAAUGCAUAGACAAAGCAGAAGUCAGUAUGGAGCAAAUACGAGUUCGGUUGCUCUUCUGA
rnacentral:rRNA from 1 species